ACACUAGCAUACCUAAAACUAUUCUCUAGUCUAAUCUUAUCUUAUCAAGAGCAUACUCCUUUACUUGUGUUGACUAACAAAAAUCAACCACCACACUCCAUUGUGCAAGUACAAUCCAAACUCCUAUGCGUAUGGUUGGAGAUUAUUAUAAUACAACACUUUUUUUCCUUUAUUUAAUAAAAUUAUAAUAUGAGCAGCUCACACUCACAAAUAUCUCUGCUCUCUCUCUCCGAUUUUACACAACCAACCACCCACCAAUUCCCCAUAAAUUUAUUUGUUGAAGUUGAAUAGACCAAAGGAAACACCAUAGUCUUCCCCUUCAUUCUAGACAACACAUUCCAAGAUCCCCAAUUUUUAGCACACAUCACACACACUUGUGUGUGUGCGUAUCCGAGAAAUCGAGAAAGAUGCAUGAGAGACUAGAUGAAGACGUGGGUGACCGGCCACCUAGUCACGGCGGCGACUCGAUGGUGCAUGACGGCACAUGGUGGCUCGCUUAUUUUUUUUUCUUUGACCCGACUUUUCAACUAGUAACCUCAUCCUCUUGACUCCUCCAUUAGUUCUCCCCUAAAGGGCAAGACCAGGUGAUGGUGGUGAGGCCUUAAAGGACGUCACAACAGUAGCGUGGUGUCGAGCAAAGAUCGGACACAUGAGCAUCCAGAUCUGAGCAGAUCGUGUUUGUGCAUAUUGGUUCGUUUCCAACCGGAUUCACUUUUCGGGUUACUCCAGAACACGGCAAAGAACCGUCGCCGGCGGCCCUGGGGCCGGCCGGCAGCUGUGACGGUGGUGGUGGCUGGCCGACAACGACAGAUGAGGUGGUUUUGGGUUAGAUUACGAGCAAAGCGAGGGGGGUGUUGACGGAAACAGUGGUGUCUGGGUAUUGGUGACCGUAAUGGUGGUGGUGUUAAUUCGAGUCUCGGGUUAGAUGCGGGCUCCAGUUCAGAUUCAUGUUCGAGUUUUUGCUAGUCAAGUCUCGUGGUUCACUUUUAGUUCAAGCGGGUCAGAUGUUUCGGUUACGGGUGCGGGUUGGUUUCGGGACAUGGUUCGGGGUUUUGUUUGAUUUGGUUUUUGGUUCGGCUUGUGCGGUUCACACGGUUCGGCAGGUUCACCGUUCGGGUCAACGACUCGGGUCAACAGGCAGUCAACGGUCAACUGCCGGGUCAACAGAAAGUUAACACACGACCCGGUAAAGUUUAACGACGCGAAAUUUACGUAGAUUUUUGACUUUAUAAUAGUUAAACGCGACCGAGCUCGACCCGUUUCGUUUCGUUUUGGUGUUAGUUUACGUUUAUUAUUACUUGACGAAAAUUUAUAAUUGGAUUAUAUUAGUGAAUUGCGGUUGAAAAUUGUUGGAUUUUGAUAAAAAUAUAUCGACACCUA